rnacentral:rRNA from 1 species
GUGGGGAAUAUUGGACAAUGGGCGCAAGCCUGAUCCAGCCAUGCCGCGUGAGUGAUGAAGGCCUUAGGGUUGUAAAGCUCUUUUGUCCGGGAAGAUAAUGACUGUACCGGAAGAAUAAGCCCCGGCUAACUUCGUGCCAGCAGCCGCGGUAAUACGAAGGGGGCUAGCUUUGUUCGGAAUCACUGGGCGUAAAGCGCACGUAGGCGGACCAUUAAGUCAGGGGUGAAAGCCUGGAGCUCAACUCCAGAACUGCCUUUGAUACUGAUGGUCUCGAGUAUGGAAGAGGUUGGUGGAACUGCGAGUGUAGAGGUGAAAUUCGUAGAUAUUCGCAAGAACACCGGUGGCGAAGGCGGCCAACUGGUCCAUUACUGACGCUGAGGUGCGAAAGCGUGGGGAGCAAACAGGAUUAGAUACCCGGGUAGUCC